rnacentral:rRNA from 1 species
UGGGGAAUAUUGGGCAAUGGAGGAAACUCUGACCCAGCGACGCCGCGUGAGGGAUGAAGGCCUUCGGGUUGUAAACCUCUUUCAGUAGGGAAGAAGCGAAAGUGACGGUACCUACAGAAGAAGCACCGGCUAACUAUGUGCCAGCAGCCGCGGUAAUACAUAGGGUGCAAGUGUUAUUCGGAUUUACUGGGCGUAAAGAGCACGUAGGCGGAUAGGUUAGUCAGAUGUGAAAGCCCGGAGCUUAACUCCGGAACUGCAUUUGAUACUACCUGUCUUGAGUAUGGUAGAGGGGGGUGGAAUUCCCGGUGUAGAGGUGAAAUUCGUAGAUAUCAGGAGGAACACCGGUGGCGAAGGCGACUUCCUGGCCCUAUACUGACGCUGAGACGCGAGAGCGUGGGGAGCAAACAGG